rnacentral:rRNA from 1 species
CCUACGGGGGGCAGCAGUAGGGAAUAUUGCUCAAUGGGGGAAACCCUGAAGCAGCAACGCCGCGUGGAGGAUGAAGGUUUUCGGAUUGUAAACUCCUUUUGUUAGAGAAGAUAAUGACGGUACCUGACGAAUAAGCACCGUCUAAAGCCGUGCCAGCAGCCGCGGUAAUACGGAGGGUGCAAGCGUUACUCGGAAUCACUGGGCGUAAAGGGCGAGUAGGCGGGAUAGCAAGUCAGAUGGGAAAUCCUAUGGUUUAACCAUAGAACUGCAUUUGAAACUGUUAAUCUAGAGUAUGGGAGAGGUAGGUGGAAUUCUUGGUGUAGGGGUAAAAUCCGUAGAGAUCAAGAGGAAUACUCAUUGCGAAGGCGACAUGCUAGAACAUAACUGACGCUGAUGCGCGAAAGCGUGGGGAUCAAACAGGAUUAGAUACCCGUGUAGUC